rnacentral:rRNA from 1 species
UGUCAGACUCGAGAGUGGUAGAGAGAGGUGGAAUUCCGGGUGUAGUGGUGAAAUGCGUAGAUAUCCGGAGGAACACCAGUGGCGAAAGCGGCCUCCUGGCCCAUUUCUGACGCUCAGACACGAAAGCUAAGGUAGCAAACGGGAUUAGAGACCCCGGUAGUCUUAGCUGUAAACUAUGUGAACUUAGUGUCGGUGGGUUUAAAUCCAUCGGUACUGAAGCAAACGCGAUAAGUUCACCGCCUGGGGACUACGGCCGCAAGGUUAAAACUCAAAGGAAUUGACGGGGCCCCGCACAAGCAGCGGAGCGUGUGGUUUAAUUCGAUGCUACACGAAGAACCUUACCAGGGUUUGACAUGCUAGUGGUAGGAAACCGAAAGGUGACCGACCCUUCGGGGAGCUAGCACAGGUGCUGCAUGGCUGUCGUCAGCUCGUGUCGUGAGAUGUUCGGUUAAGUCCGCUAACGAGCGCAACCCUCGCUGUGUGUUAUAUGUGUCACAUGGGACUGCCGGUCUUAAGCCGGAGGAAGGUGGGGAUGACGUCAAGUCAGCAUGGCCUUUAUGUCCUGGGCUACACACACGCUACAAUGGUCAGCACAAUGGGUCGCUAAGCCGCAAGGUGGAGCCAAUCCUCAAAGUUGGCCUCAGUUCAGAUUGUAGGCUGCAACUCGCCUGCAUGAAGAUGGAGUUGCUAGUAAACGCAGGUCAGCUAUACUGCGUUGAAUACGUUCCCGGGGCUUGUACACACCGCCC